UGCGUAGGUGGCGCUGUAAGUGGGGGUGUGAAAUCCCGGGGCUUAACCCCGGGACCUGCAUUCCAUACUGCGGUGCUUGAGGACUGGAGAGGAGACUGGAAUUUACGGUGUAGCAGUGAAAUGCGUAGGGAUCGUAAGGAAGACCAGUGGCGAAGGCGGGUCUCUGGACAGUUCCUGACACUGAGGCACGAAGGCCAGGGGAGCAAACG
rnacentral:rRNA from 1 species